rnacentral:rRNA from 1 species
CGUUUUCGGCGCCCGUAGCUAACGCAUUAAGUGCCCCGCCUGGGGAGUACGGCCGCAAGGCUAAAACUCAAAGGAAUUGACGGGGGCCCGCACAAGCGGGCGGAGCAUGCGGAUUAAUUCGAUGCAACGCGAAGAACCUUACCAAGGCUUGACAUACACCGGACCGCCCUAGAGAUAGGGUUUCCCUUCGGGGCUGGUGUACAGGUGGUGCAUGGUUGUCGUCAGCUCGUGUCGUGAGAUGUUGGGUUAAGUCCCGCAACGAGCGCAACCCUUGUCCUAUGUUGCCAGCACGUAAUGGUGGGGACUCAUGGGAGACUGCCGGGGUCAACUCGGAGGAAGGUGGGGAUGACGUCAAAUCAUCAUGCCCCUUAUGUCUUGGGCUUCACGCAUGCUACAAUGGCCGGUACAGUGGGUUGCGAUACUGUGAGGUGGAGCUAAUCCCUAAAAGCCGGUCUCAGUUCGGAUCGAAGUCUGCAACUCGACUUCGUGAAGUUGGAGUCGCUAGUAAUCGCAGAUCAGCAAUGCUGCGGUGAAUACGUUCCCGGGCCUUGUACACACCGCCCGUCAAGGCACGAAAGUUGGUAACACCCGAAGCCGGUGGCCCAA